UGGCCCAGAUCGUUUACCGUGAAAAAAUUAGAGUGUUCAAAGCAGGCAGAUCCAAUUCUCUGCCACCGAAUACAUUAGCAUGGGAUAAUGGAAUAGGACCCUGUCCUCCUAUUUUCAGUUGGUUUUGGCAGCGCGAGGACUAGGGUAAUGAUUAAUAGGGAUAGUUGGGGGCAUUAAUAUUUAAUUGUCAGAGGUGAAAUUCUUGGAUUUAUGAAAGAUUAACUUCUGCGAAAGCAUCUGCCAAGGAUGUUUUCAUUAAUCAAGAACGAAAGUUAGGGGAUCGAAGACGAUCAGAUACCGUCGUAGUCUUAACCAUAAACGAUGCCGACCAGCGAUUAGGAGACGUUGAAUACAAAACACCACCAUCGGUGCGGUCGUUCUUGGCGUYGGUCYYUCGKCCGRCSCGUGGAGMUGCUMSWGMUYGUAYCYCUUU
rnacentral:rRNA from 1 species